AUGAACAAAGUUAAUAAAUCUCAAGUUAUAGUUCUCUCUAUCUUACUUCUUCUCCUUGUGAUCACACCCUUGUUACCUUCCUCUCUCAGGCCUACUUACCUUUACUUAAUCUUCAACAUCCUUAUCAUUGCACUUGGAGCUGAAGCCGGUCUUUUGUCGGUGCUCUCCGAACCUUCUGAAGACAAAAAGCAACAUGUUUCUGUUACACAACCGAAACAUGAAAUGCUAGAACAAGAAGAGAAAGAAGCAUCUAACAUAAUAAACAAUGCAUAUUCUGUUUCAGAAGAACAAAAUGAAAACAAGCCUAAGGUUGUUGAAAAAUCUGUAUCUGAGAAGAAGAUUGUGUAUGUUGAUGUUGGUGUUAGUAAAGUGGAUAAGGUGAAAAAAUGUCCUUCAAUGCCAAGUAUUUUUUUCAUAGAAGAUGGAGAAGAUGAUCUAGAAGUGAAGGAUGAGGAGGUUGAAGUAGAAGAUGAGAUUUGUGGUGUUAAUGGUCAAGAACUUUUUGCAAAAGCUGAAGCUUUCAUUGGAAAUUUCUACAAGCAGUUGAAGAUGCAGAGAGAGGAAUGCUGGGAUUCUUAGUAAACCUAUUUAGGACUUAAGUAUUUUUUAUUUUUUUAUCAAGAAUAAAUAUUUUUCUAUGUUGUUAAAUUAGGAACACUAGUUGUUGUGAGAGGAUCCAUUGUACAUAUUUUGAUUUGGAAUUGGAGGUUAUGUUAUAUUCAACUCUCAUUAUCAUCAUAUAAAGUUCAUGUUACAUAUGGUGAAACUCAUCACGUUAAUUUGUUUCACUCUAAGUUUGACUUAGUGGAUUAGAGUGAUAAGGAGAGGAAGAAGGUUAGAGAAUCUAUAUCCAACUAUAGGAGUGUCAAAAUCAGCUGUAAUAGAUAAUGCACUUUUUUUCUUUUUUCUUUUCUGGUUCGACCCCGAUCCCUGCAUAUAAUAUGCAAUUUCUCUAUCAACUGAGCUAAAUUUACGGGGAUUAGAUAAUGCACUUUUUAAGCGAAUGUAAUUAAUCAAUCUUUGACUAAACUUAACCUUUCAACAUUAUAUUCAUUAAUUGAUUGAGGGCUUGUGAGAUGAGUCAACUACUUACUACAUGUUAUGAAUAAUUAUAAGUUAGUGGAUGUUCAUUCUUGGUCUUCCACCUUCCUAUAACCCCCAUUAGUAAAUGUAUGGUUAUAGUGGUCCUUAAUUGAUUUGAUCAUUCACUUAGGACCUAUAUUGUAAUGUAAAGAACACACUUGUGAAGUAAUACAAUACACUCUUAUGUUCUCUCUUUGUUUCUUUCUCUCUAUUCUUAUAUACUUUAUAAUAUCUUGCAAUGCUAAGAAUCAAUUUCAUAACACAUUAUGAGCACGAAGCUAUGCCAAUUUGAGGUAAUACUAAUUCUUGUUUUUUAUGAUAUAACUUAUUGUGUUGUAUGCUUGUACGUAUAGAAAAUGUGUAGAAAUUCUAAUAGCAACAUGAUGUAUAUAAGUUAUAUAUAAGUAUGUUUCUGCAAUCCCUUCUCUGACUGUUAUGAUUUGCCUCCAUCAUCAUUACUUGAUGCGUUGAAAUUCAUUGUUUUUAUUUACUCAUUAGUUGUUGAAUUUUUGAAUGACGAUUUGUUAUCAAAGUUGUGAUCUCUGUAUUAACAGAAAUCAGUGACCACAUUAGCCUUUUUUUUUUUUUUUUUUGAGGGACACAUUAGCCUUUUUAUUAUCGAAAGAUGUGAACAAUAUAUAGCAGCUGGUAUUAUAACAGAAGAUAUUAUAUAAAAUUGAAUCCAACCUAUAUCAUAUAAUACUUAUGGCUCUCAUCAUACAAUUUUCAUUUAGUUAUGCCUCAUAAUUCAAAUCAUGUGAAGUUUAAAUAAAUUUUCGCAUGAUCUUGAGGUAAUAUUGAUUCUCAUUACUUCUUUUUAUGAUAUUUAGUUGAGAUUGCUCAUCAAAUGAUAUUUGAUUUUAGUGGUUGAUAUUUUUCUUGAUCCAUAUUAGUUCAACGUAAGAAAAUUUUCAUUCUUUCAUUCAUAAUAUAUUCAUGCUAAAUUGUUUGAUUGAUCUCCUUCAAACCUCUAUUUGCUAAAUGUAAUUUUUAUGAUUAUGUGAGCAAUGAUAUUAAUCUUUUUGACAAUUGCCGCAGUAAACUAGAAAUACAUACGAUUUUUUUUAAUUUUUUUUUUCUUUCUUUCUAUAUUUUGGGUUCGAAAAUCAUAUAUUAGAUUUCUCUCCUAACCAUGUGCAUAUUUAAACAUGAGUUCCUCCAUAAAAGAGAACUUUUUAUUGAUUUGUUUGGAAUUCACUUGUUAAUACUUGUGCACGCAUCAACUUCUUCAUAUUUAUUAAUAUCAUCUCUUAUUGCGUCACAAUUUUUAAAUUUUACUAUGAAUUUUAUUUAACUUGUUUAUAGGUUUCAUACUAUAUUUAUAAAGUACUUUUCUACUUGGGUCUUGUGACUAAAAAUCAAUAGAUUUAUUUUUCUGAAAUUUCAAAAAGAAUUCUUCAAAAUGCCAUAGGUAUGAAGAAAAUAUUUAUUUAUUUUUUUAUUCAUUUUAAAUUCCGGAGGAAUUUAACAUUAAAAUAUCCCUGAAGGAUUGUACAAACAAUAAAGAUAUUAUGAUAUAAUUCUUGAAGAACUAUGUUUUCUCUUAAUAUUAAAGCAUCUUGGAAGGAUUGCUCAAAGAAUGAAUAUUAUUUUUAUAAUGUUUAUGAAGAUUUGAGAUAUGGUUCUAGAAGAACUGAUAAGUUAACAUCAAGUAUUUGUGAAAGAUUUGCAAAAUAAAAAUAUUGUGAUUUUCCUUUGUCAUUGUCGAUAGAGAUUUGUGGUUGAGUUCUUGAAGAACUAGAUAUUCAUUCAUAAUUUAAAUAUAUAAGAUCUAUUUGAUCUUAGUAUAAGUUGAAUUUGCUCCUGAAGUAACAAAAUCGAGAAAAUAAUAUCAAGAAUUGAUAUAGUAGAGAUUAUCAUUUAUAUGAUACAUGCGAAGAUGGUAAAACUUUAUUAUAACUUUUGAUGAUUAUGAUUUUUGCUACUAAUGAGUUAUGAGAAGGCAUAUAAAUUAGAGAUUAAAAUUUAAGAACAAUAUUGUGUUGAAUUAGAAGAGUUCCUGAAGAGCUAACACAUUUAAAGAGAAAAUAUGUUUAUUUCUAUGUCAUUUGAAAUGCUUCUGAAGUAGCAAAAUAAGUGAGUAUCUUCAAGAAUAUUUUUGAAAGAUCAGUCACAUUUGUAAUUGAACAAAGAGUGACUCUAUUAUAUGGAAUUCCUCGGUACUUAAUUACAGCCGGCUCCAUAAUUCGGCAGUUAACUGCCGAGGAGCAUUUGGAUAAAUUACUCGUGUUUUUCAGCCAAUACAUAUGUGUGAACAACAAUUCUCCUUAUUUCUAUGCUAAUUCAAAAAAUUACCCCAUGUAAAUUUUGUAUUGAAGAAUCUUGCCAUGCUCUAGUCUUGUCAAAGAAAAAAGUGCAAUGCAAGUGCCAUCAUCCAUUAGUCUCAUAAGGAAUCCAAAUCUAGUGUCGUUUGACUCAAAAGUUUGUAUUGCUAGUAAGAAACGUGAUCGAAUAUGUAAUUUUAGGAUCUCAUAUUUCUUCAUUUAUGGUAACAAAAUUAUAUGAAUGAAAUCAACAACGUUAUAAAAAGAAUAUGUAUUAAAGAAUUAAAUUUAAUUAAGGGAAAAUUUAGGUGUAUUUCCUUAUUUAAUUUCAGGUUUGAAAUUCCUCGGCAGUUAACUGCUAAAAUUUUCCUCGGCAGUUAACUGCAGCCGAUUCUUUAAAAUUUCAGUAAUUAACUGCCAAUGGACAUUUGAAUAAUUUACUCAUGUUUCUCAAUCAAACCAAAUGUGUCAACAACAAUACUCAAGUAUUUUCUUAACACGGGUGUGAAACACUAGUAUGUGAAUCUUAGUCAUACAACAAUAAAUUAAUAGUCCAGUAAAAAAAAAUGAUCCGUUAUUAAGUAACGUGACUUAAAAAAAAUGAACCACUUACUAUUUAGAUGUGACACAUUUUGCAGCGUUAUUGGUUUUCCAGUGGCUCCACAUCUCUUUAGUCGCUCCAUUCACAGGUCGUGAUCAUUUUCUUCAGUUCGGGUAUCUUGUGAGAUUACCGCGUUCUUCACAUUCGAUUUUUUAGAUAAUUUGGCUAGCUUGUGUCUAUGUCAUUUGGAAAGAAUGGAAUAACAGAGUUUUUCAUCAGAAGGUUAUGGAUUCGCAAAGCAUAGCGGACAAGGUCAAAAGACAAUCUUUCCUUUGACUGAAAUCUAAUAUGCCCACUUUUGUUUUCAGUUAUCAAGACGGGCGGCGCCACCCUUUAGCUUGUAUGGGUGUAUUGACGUAAUCUUCUUAUUAUUUCGGUUUUUCCUUUCAUCACGGUGAUCUUUUAUUUAGCACCAAUGAAUUGACAUUGUAAAUUGUUUUGGGUGUUUGUCUUUUGCACAUUUUGUGCGAGAUGAAUUACCUUUGAUGAUCUACAUAUUUCAUUUUGACUUGUUAAAAAAAUUAUGACUUUAAGUUUUUAUCUUACUCAUAGUUUUUUCAAAAAUAUAAUUAAGUUUUUAUCUUACUCAUAGUUUUUUCAAAAAUAUAAUGGAUGUAUAUAUAAAUAUGAGCGAGUAUCUCAUUUCAAUAACGGUGUAAUUAUAUUUGCAAAAAUGUGUGUCAAUUUUGUGACAGGAUAUACAUGAAGCUGGUGACAACUAGACCUCAGUAGUUACAAGUAAUAAUAAUUCAAUUUCUCUGUCAUAUGAAAAGCAUUUGCUCAUACUAGCUGUUUUGGUGUUUUUUAUGGGUUUAUUUAUUAUUUACUUAAUUGCAUUUUUUAUUCUUAGUUUUAACCCGCUUAUAUAAUUGGUUCAUUUUUUGUCAAAACAUUUGAAUGAGAAACUAUGAAAUUAUAUUUUGAAAAAAGAACCAAUUAAAACGAAUAAGUCUUUCAUUCAAAUGUUUUAACAAAAAAUGGUAAGUUAACAAAAAUUUUCUUUGUCGUGACAUAAAAUCUAAUUAACUGGGACGAUUCUUCGUCAACAGGUUUUAUGUCAUGUCAAUAAAUAACUUGACAUAUCACUUUCAUAACAAAGAUUUCAACAAGAGACAAAAAUACUAGAUUUUAAAAAAGAGAUAAUAAAUUUCAUGAGCAAGUGAAAAAGAAGAUCAAUUCCAAUUUCUGUGACUUAUAAGAAAUUAUAUCCGUAUAAAAUACAAGAAUUGAAAGCUUGAAAUUGUGUACAACUUUGUGAAGACCAUAUAAUGAUCUCAAUCAAUCAUGAUAGAUAGAUGGGGUCAUCAAUCAAAAUACUAAAGAUUCUUUCUUACUUCAGUGCUAAAAAUUCCAUUCAUGUUUUUUUUCUUCAUAUAUAUGUAGUUGUGGCCAUACGUGGGAGAAGGGUCCAUAUAAUAUGCAAAGGCAUAUUGUAAAAGAUCCUUAAUUAUCUUACUUUUUUUUAAUGAUUUGUUCCCCACCAAUAUUCUUCACCUCCAUGAAUAUGCAGAGUAACCAAAAUUCCAUAUUGUUGUCAUUCUUGAUCCUAUCUCAGAGUUAGUGUGUGUUUGGUAUCACGGCGGGGAGAAUUGAUUUUGAUAGAAUUGAGUUUGAGAAAAUUGAUUUUGGUUAAAAGUGAGUUAGAUAUGAAUUGAUUAUGUUUGGAUACGCUUAAUUAAAAGUGAUUCUUUUGAGUUGAUAUUGUUUGGAUACAUUGAAUCAAAAUUGAUUGUGAAUGUAUAAUGACCAUAUUAUCCCUUUAGUAUUUAAUUGUAGAAAAUUUGGCAUUUUAUAAAAAAUAAAAAUAAAAAAUAAGAAUAAAAAAGAUUGGACCUUAUCCUUUAACCCAUUGUCAUCGUCUUCUCUAACCAAGAAAAUCUACUCCCCCACUCACAAGAGUCGCAACAACAGCAAAAAAAAGUCUAUAUUGUACUCCAUUGAUGCACCAAGGCAAGAACUGAAAUGUCCACUUCUAGCGUAAUCAAACAAAUUCGUUUCAUUUUCUCUUUUUAAGUUUAAUUCGUCAAAUUUUCCCCUCUCUUAUCUCUAAGUUUAAUCAAACAAAUUUGUUUUAUUGACACUACAAUUUCUGAAAUCAACUGGUAAGAAAACAAUAAAAGGAAUAGGCAUUAAGAAAUGCAGAGAUGGAAGACAAAUUGAAAUGGGUUGGGCAAGAGGAACUGGAAAGCCGAACAGAUGUAAGGGAAAAGAGAGAGGUGAUGGUGAGGGUAAAGAAGGAAAAAUGUGAGUUAUAUAAAUGUCAGUUAAAUAUAAUAGAAGAAUUGAUUCUAGCCCACUGCAGAAGCUGAGAUUUGUAGCUUCUCAUAAAAUUGAUUUUGAAAGACAAAAUCACUUUUAGAAAAGAAAACCAAACAUGAUGGAAAAUAAAGAAACCACGGUGAAGGUCUCCAAACGGCGUUUGAGGCUAAAAAAAGCCAUACCAAACAGGCACUUAAGCAACUAUUUAACAGUGAAAGUGAAAUUAAGUGAGAAAAUUACUCUUUUCACUUCUCAAAUUUCUCUUCUAACACAAUUUUUUCAUUGAUCGACGAGUCGUAUAUUUUCUUGUGUGACAAGUAAAACUUCAACUUCCAAAUGUUAUAAUGUCAUAUCAUCCUAAUAUUUGUGCCAAAACUCAACUAAUCAACUUAAUAUCUUGUUUCUAAUAUGUCAUACAAAUUAACUAAAUAUUUAAUAAGCUCCUAAAACAAUAUCACAAAAGAAUGUAUAAAAGAAGUAUAGAAGAAGAAAUGAUUAAUUCAAUUGUUUAAAUAAAUAUCCGUAAUUGAACCAAAAAAAAAUAUCUGUAAUAUGAUAAGUUUGAUAUUCAUCAUAAAAUAAAUUAACAAGUUGGUUUGCAAGUAGCAAUUCUUAUAUCCAAAUUUAGUUAAAUUUUGUGAUAUCAUUAUAUCAUCAAUUUGGUAAUAGUAUAUAUAUGUAGAACUAUUUCUACCAAUCAACAGCCUAGCAUACUACCUGCUCAUCAGGUAGGCACCUCAUAAUUGACCUCAAGAAUUGCAUGACAGACAAAAUAAUGAAAUAUAUAGCCUGUUUUAUUUCUACAAUUAAGAAUUCCACAUGAAUACACACCACUUUUAACAAUCUUGAUUAACAAUGAAUUUUUAUUGAUAGCCACUUACAUUUGUAAUGUGUAAGAAUAAUGUUUCUUAAAGGAAAUAUCUAAGUUGGUACUUGAAAUUGUAAGCAUUAUUCAACUUAGUUUCCAUCAUUAUAAAUAUAGCAAAACUAUUUAUGAAAUUACAGAUUUGCCCUUUUGUCUAUAUUUGUUAUCCAAUGCAUCCUGAGAUUAUUAUUAGGUUAGAGCAUCCAGGUCCAUACUCCCGAUAUUUGUGCUCUUAGUUUUAAACUUGUCUUUUAUAUUAUUAAGUUAAUGUUAUUUUAGUCCUUGUAAAUAUCAAUAAAUGGACGGAUUAAAUUUAAAUUUUACAAUUUCAAAGAUCAUUUGAAAAACCACAAUUUCAAGAGUAUUUAUUGUUUUUCUUAGAAAUUUUCUGCCUUCCCUCACAAUAUUUUUGUACUUUCUUAGAGUGACACUGUCAAUAGUAAAAUAUCUAUUAUUCUCAAAAACAAUGAUGUAACCAACAAAUUCCACUAUUUGUCUCUCUACUUCUCUCUGAUCUCUUUCCACCUUUAUGUCCUCUAUAUAUAAUGUCUAGAACACCACACUCAAUCCCAUGCUUUUUCUUCCUACUACUUUUUACUACCACCAACUCUUAUAUUCCCCUUCAUCUUUUUUUAUCAUUCAAAGUUUCUUUCACUACUUUUUUUCACUCUCUAAUCAUGACCAUGAACAAAGUUGAUAAAUCUCAAGUAAUAGUUCUCUCUUUCCUAGCUUUUCUCCUUGUGAUCACACCCUUCUUACCUUCUUUUCUUAGGCCCAGUUACCUUUACUUAAUCUUCAACCUCCUUAUCAUUGCACUUGGAGCUGAAGCUGGACUUCUCUCAGUAUUCUCUGAGCCUUCAGAAGACAGAAAACAACAUAUUU
rnacentral:lncRNA from 1 species